rnacentral:rRNA from 1 species
UACGGAAGGCAGCAGUGGGGAAUAUUGCACAAUGGGCGCAAGCCUGAUGCAGCCAUGCCGCGUGUAUGAAGAAGGCCUUCGGGUUGUAAAGUACUUUCAGUCGUGAGGAAGGUGUUAAGGUUAAUAACCUUAGCAAUUGACGUUAGCGACAGAAGAAGCACCGGCUAACUCCGUGCCAGCAGCCGCGGUAAUACGGAGGGUGCGAGCGUUAAUCGGAAUUACUGGGCGUAAAGGGCACGCAGGCGGUUAAUUAAGUUGGAUGUGAAAUCCCCGGGCUUAACCUGGGAAUGGCAUUCAAGACUGGUUAGCUAGAGUCUUGUAGAGGGGGUGAAUUCCAUGUGUAGCGGUGAAAUGCGUAGAGAUGUGGAGGAAUACCGGUGGCGAAGGCGGCCCCUGGGACAAAGACUGACGCUCAUGUGCGAAAGCGUGGGGAGCAAACAGGAUUAGAUACC